rnacentral:rRNA from 1 species
UAAAAGUUUUAUUCUUGCUUUUAAAUUUAUUGUAACAUUAUUAUAUAUGUAAGUUGUUGCGUAUUAAUUAUUUAUUUAUUCUUAAGGAUUAAAUAGUUUAAAAAUAUGUUUUCGCAGUAUAAAAUAUUAUAAAUUUAAGUAAUUUUGAUUUAGUAAUUGUUUAUAAUAUUGAUUAACCAUGUGCCAGCAGUCGCGGUUAUACAUGAAAUAUAAGUGAAUAUUAUUAGUUAAAGUAGUUAAUUGAUUUAGGUUGAAUUUAUGUUGAUUAUUGUUGGGUGAAAUAUUAAUUUUUGUUAUUGAUUUAUUUUGUUGAUUAAAUGAAGCUAUGAAAUCUAAUUUAUUUAAACUAGGAUUAGAUACCCUAUUAUUUUAGAUGUAAAUUAUUUAAACUUGAGUAGUAGUAGAUAAGAUCUUGAAACUUAAAGAAUUUGGCGGUAUUUUAGUCUAUUUAGAGGAAUCUGUCCCAUAAUCGAUAAUCCGCGUUGGACCUUACUUAAUUUAAAAUAAUAUGUAUACCGCCGUUGUUGAAAAUCUUUUUAGGGUUUAUGAAUUUUUUUAAUAUUUAUUAGAUAAAUUUUCAGGUCAAGGUGCAGUUUAUAAUUAAGUGGUGAUGGAUUACAAUAUUUAUAUUAUAUAUGAAUUAUUAUCUGUAAUUGGUAGUAUGAAGGUGGAUUUAAUAGUAAUAUUAUGAAGGUUGUUAAUAUGAUUUUAGCUCUAAAAUAUGCACACAUCGCCCGUCGCUCUCGUUAUGUUUAAGGUGAGAUAAGUCGUAACAUAGUAGUUGUACCGGAAGGUGUAACUAGAAUGAUU